rnacentral:lncRNA from 1 species
AAAUAGACACCAUCUUGGUGUUGAGAAUAGUUAACUUUUACAUACAUUUAUUCGUUUUGUUUGUUUCUUACGAUUUCCUUGACCCCAUGAUUUACCAGAAAUUAAUGAUUAAACAUAGCAAUGAAACUUGAUCUAGCCUUAUGCAAUAAAAGACACUCGCUUAAUUCUUAAUGAAACGACAUGCACGUGCUUACGAGCCAACGAUAAUUUUGCCAUGAAGACUAACUUAGAUGCGUGAUUCGCCACCAGAUCGAACCUUGUACUAGCUUGAACCAGUUUGAACUUGAUCCACGAAUUAAACUUGAAACAGAUACGAGUGAACAUUUGUCAACUAGCUCUAACAAGCGUAUCGUAUGGUGGUAAAAUAGACAUUCCCCCGAUAUCUCUAACACUUGGAAAUA